GACUCCAUAGUUCAACUGGAUAGAACAAGGGAUUCCUAAUCCCUAGAUCUGGGUUCAAUUCCCGGUGGGGUCA
rnacentral:tRNA from 1 species